AUUGAACGCUGGCGGCAGGCCUAACACAUGCAAGUCGAGCGGAUGAGGGGUGCUUGCACCCUGAUUCAGCGGCGGACGGGUGAGUAAUGCCUAGGAAUCUGCCCGAUAGUGGGGGACAACGUGUCGAAAGGAACGCUAAUACCGCAUACGUCCUACGGGAGAAAGUGGGGGCUCUUCGGACCUCACGCUAUCGGAUGAGCCUAGGUCGGAUUAGCUAGUUGGUGGGGUAAAGGCUCACCAAGGCGACGAUCCGUAACUGGUCUGAGAGGAUGAGCAGUCACACUGGAACAGAGACACGGUCCAGACUGCUACGGGAGGCAGCAUUGGGGAAUAUUGGACAAUGGGCGAAAGCCUGAUGCAGCCAUGCCGAGUGUGUGAAGAAGGUCUUCGGAUUGUAAAGCACUUUAAGUCGGGAGGAAGGGCUGCAGGUUAAUACCUUGCAGCCUUGACGUUACCGACAGAAUAAGCACCGGCUAACUUCGUGCCAGCAGCCGCAGUAACAC
rnacentral:rRNA from 1 species